GGGAAUCAGCGAAAGGGGGAAAGAAAAGGGAACUUUUUUGUAUUCCUGAAAGUAUGCCUGUUUGAGGGUCAGUUAAAUAAAAAUCGUUGUUUUUGCUGCGUUUCGUUGUGACGCGUCGGAGUUGGGUUUUCUUACCUUCGGUUAAGUGACUUAUACGUUUGCUUGAUUUUCGAACGUAUUUAAAUUUCUUACGUACGUUUUAGAUAUCGAAUACUUUAUUAGGUUCGUUCAUCCUCAGGAUUCGCACCUAUAAUUUG
rnacentral:misc_RNA from 1 species